rnacentral:rRNA from 1 species
CGGACGGGUGAGUAAUGCUUGGGAAUCUGGCUUAUGGAGGGGGAUAACUACGGGAAACUGUAGCUAAUACCGCGUAAUAUCUUCGGAUUAAAGGGUGGGACUUUCGGGCCACCUGCCAUAAGAUGAGCCCAAGUGGGAUUAGGUAGUUGGUGGGGUAAAGGCCUACCAAGCCGACGAUCUCUAGCUGGUCUGAGAGGAUGACCAGCCACACUGGAACUGAGACACGGUCCAGACUCCUACGGGAGGCAGCAGUGGGGAAUAUUGCACAAUGGGGGGAACCCUGAUGCAGCCAUGCCGCGUGAAUGAAGAAGGCCUUCGGGUUGUAAAGUUCUUUCGGUGAUGAGGAAGGUGUUUGUUUUAAUAGAACAAGCAAUUGACGUUAGUCACAGAAGAAGCACCGGCUAACUCCGUGCCAGCAGCCGCGGUAAUACGGAGGGUGCGAGCGUUAAUCGGAAUGACUGGGCGUAAGGGCACGCAGGCGGUGACUUAAGUGAGAUGUGAAAGCCCCGAGCUUAACUUGGGAAUUGCAUUUCAUACUGGGUCGCUAGAGUAUUUUAGGGAGGGGUAGAAUUCCACGUGUAGCGGUGAAAUGCGUAGAGAUGUGGAGGAAUACCGAAGGCGAAGGCAGCCCCUUGGGAAUAUACUGACGCUCAUGUGCGAAAGCGUGGGGAGCAAACAGGAUUAGAUACCCUGGUAGUCCACGCUGUAAACGCUGUCGAUUUGGGGAUUGGGCUUAGAGCUUGGUGCCCGUAGCUAACGUGAUAAAUCGACCGCCU